UACGGGGGAUGCAAGCGUUAUCCGGAAUUAUUGGGCGUAAAGGGUCCUGAGGUGGCUAGCCAAGUCUAUUGUGAAAUAUCAGGGCUUAACCCUGAACAUGCGGUGGAAACUAGAAAGCUUGAGUACAGUAGGGGCGGAGGGAAUUUCCGGUGGAGCGGUGAAAUGCAUAGAUAUCGGGAAGAACACCAACGGCGAAAGCACUCCGCUGGGCUGAUACUGACACUGACAGACGAAAGCUAGGGUAGCGAAAGG
rnacentral:rRNA from 1 species